GCGGGCGUGGCGGAAUUGGCAGACGCGCCAGGUUUAGGUCCUGGUGAGGUUUACCCUCAUGAAGGUUCAAGUCCUUUCGCCCGCACCA
rnacentral:tRNA from 1 species